AUUUCUUUAGUAUAAUUAGUACAUUCGCCUUCCAAGCAAAAAGUUUGACAACUCAAAAGAAAUA
rnacentral:tRNA from 1 species